UACGCGCGCGCGGUUUCUCCUCCGUAUAGGUAUACCGAAUAAGAAGUAUGCACAGUGUUGUGUGCAGUGUAUAUAUUAUAUUAUAAUACGCGACGACGACUACUGCAGCGGUUCUCAAACUGGACACGGCGCGCGCGACAGUGUCAUUCAAACGCUGUCGUGUGAUGAUGUAUUAUGAUAUACCUAUACCGUCAUCGUCUGUGUAUAUAGACAAAACCAGUAUGGCGAUUUAUCCAACCUGAUAACAGAUUUGUGGCGCAAUUUCCUGUAAUAUAUACGACGCAAACACAAUGAUGAAUAAGCUAAUGGAUUUUAUUUGAGUUUAUUGGGUUAAGUGAAAGUUUAGAACGUUGAGUUAUAAUUUAACUACUGACAAAUAACAAUACAAUUUAUUCUGAAAAUUUAAAAAAAGUUAACUAUAUACAAUAAAUUGUUGUAAUUACUGCAGUAGUCAUCUGAAGCUCUGCGCACAUCGUGAUUGUGCGUUUUAUGAUAAUAUAACAAUAAUUAUUACAGUUUUUUUGCGGUUUGUGUUUAUCAAAUUAUUAAAUCUUGAAACAUUUAA